GAUUAACGCGGGCGGCGUGCAUAACACAUGCAAGUCGAACGAUGAAACUUUUUUGAUUUCUUCGGAAUGAAAAAAAGUGGAUUAGUGGCGGACGGGUGAGUAACGCGUGAGUAACCUGCCUUAGAGAAGGGGAUAGCCUUUGGAAACGAAGAAUAAUACCCUAUGAAACCAUAACCUCGCAUGAGGCCUUGGUCAAAGAUUUAUCGCUCUAAGAUGGACUUGCGUCUGAUUAGUUAGUUGGUGGGGUAACGGCCCACCAAGACAGCGAUCAGUAGCCGGCUUGAGAGAGUGUACGGCCACAUUGGGACUGAGACACGGCCCAGACUCCUACGGGAGGCAGCAGUGGGGAAUUUUGCACAAUGGGGGAAACCCUGAUGCAGCGACGCCGCGUGAUUUAGAAGGCCUUCGGGUUGUAAAAAUCUUUUCUAUGGGAAGAAAAUGACAGUACCAUAGGAAUAAGGACCGGCUAAUUACGUGCCAGCAGCCGCGGUAAUACGUAAGGUCCGAGCGUUGUCCGGAAUCAUUGGGCGUAAAGGGUACGUAGGCGGGUAAGCAAGUUAGAAGUGAAAUCCUAUAGCUCAACUAUAGUAAGCUUUUAAAACUGCUCAUCUUGAGGUAUGGAAGGGAAAGUGGAAUUCCUAGUGUAGCGGUGAAAUGCGCAGAUAUUAGGAGGAAUACCGGUGGCGAAGGCGACUUUCUGGCCAUAACCUGACGCUGAGGUACGAAAGCGUGGGUAGCAAACAGG
rnacentral:rRNA from 1 species